rnacentral:misc_RNA from 1 species
AACGCAUAUUGCACCUCUUGGUAUUCCUUGAGGUAUACCUGUUCGAGCGCCGUUUAUUAUCUAAGGCUUUGCCUUGUGUUGAUGUUACCUAUUAAAGGUUUAUCUAAAUAAAUGGGCACUUAUUCUUUGUCCUAAGCGCAGCGAAAUGUGUAAAGGUUAAGAAUGAAGUAGCCAAUGCUCUCUAAAGCAUGGCCUCGGAUCAGGUAGGGUUACCCGCUGAACUUAA